GCGGCAGUGGCGUAAUGGUAGCCGCGUUAGUCUUAGGAACUAAUGUCGAAAGGCGUAGGAGUUCGAGUCUCCUCUGCCGCA
rnacentral:tRNA from 1 species